AUUGAACGCUGGCGGCAGGCCUAACACAUGCAAGUCGAACGAGUGGCGGACGGGUGAGUAAUGUCUGGGAAACUGCCUGAUGGAGGGGGAUAACUACUGGAAACGGUAGCUAAUACCGCAUACCAUCAGAUGUGCCCAGAGGGGAUUAGCUUGUUGGUGGGGUAACGGCUCACCAAGGCGACGAUCCCUAGCUGGUCUGAGAGGAUGACCAGCCACACUGGGACUGAGACACGGUCCAGACUCCUACGGGAGGCAGCAGUGGGGAAUAUUGCACAAUGGGCGAAAGCCUGAUGCAGCCAUGCCGCGUGAAUGAAGAAGGCCUUCGGGUUGUAAAGUACUGUUGGUGGGGAAGCGUUACCCAAAGAAGAAGCACCGGCUAACUCCGUGCCAGCAGCCGCGGUAAUAC
rnacentral:rRNA from 1 species